rnacentral:rRNA from 1 species
UACGUAGGGUGCGAGCGUUAAUCGGAAUUACUGGGCGUAAAGUGUGCGCAGGCGGCGUCGCAAGUCGAGCGUGAAAGCCCCGAGCUUAACUUGGGAAUUGCGCUCGAAACUACGAUGCUGGAGUGUGGCAGAGGAAGGUGGAAUUCCACGUGUAGCGGUGAAAUGCGUAGAGAUCGGAAAGAACACCAACGACGAAAGCACUCUGCUGGGCCGACACUGACACUGAGAGACGAAAGCUAGGGGAGCGAAUGGG